UAAAAUCUUUAACUGGCGAAUUUAACUUGCACCAACGUAAGAUAAAAGCAUCCGACAACUAGAACACUUAAAUAUCAUAAGCGGCCGCGUCAAUUACAUAAGCCGCCCAAAUGUGAAAGGUCACACGCUAUUAGUUUGUUUAUCAAACUGUAUAAUCAAUUAUGUCAUCAAUUUGUGUGACACUUCGGGAACAUGUAAAGAUCAAAGUGUAAAUGUGUUAAUUGGAACAAUUUACGUCUUUCAUUCUCUGACUUGGAGCACUGAUAAUUACAUGUGCGGUCAACUGAUCGUCUGGUGUUAGUAGAGUACAGAGAAGUGUCAAGUGAAAGAUCUUCCAUGAUGUUGACAAACAUUGAACUUUAGAUCACCAGAUUGUCGGGUAGAAGCUGGGAAAGAUCUUGGCUCAGUCCAGCCUGUGAGAAGAACUGCUAUAGGCAAAACACUGGAAAACAGGACCUCCCAUGACUAACUUAACAUGAUGUUUUUGAUUACAUUUAUGUUGUCAUGUGUAUUUAUUUAAAUGGAAUUUGAAAACCACAUAAUACUAUGUCUAUAUUUUAGAUAAUAAACAUGUGCAGCUGUAAUAAAAUGAAAUAUUAUAAA